AUUGAACGCUGGCGGCAUGCCUUACACAUGCAAGUCGAACGGCAGCAUGGGUGCUUGCACCUGAUGGCGAGUGGCGAACGGGUGAGUAAAGCAUCGGAACGUACCCGGAAGUUUGGGAUAACGUAGCGAAAGUUACGCUAAUACCGGAUAUUCUGUGAGCAGGAAAGCGGGGGAUCGCAAGACCUCGCGCUUCCGGAGCGGCCGAUGUCGGAUUAGCUAGUUGGUGGGGUAAAGGCCUACCAAGGCAACGAUCCGUAGCGGGUCUGAGAGGAUGGUCCGCCAAACUGGGACUGAGACACGGCCCAGACUCCUACGGGAGGCAGCAGUGGGAAUUUUGGACAAUGGGGGCAACCCUGAUCCAGCCAUGCCGCGUGAGUGAAGAAGGCCUUCGGGUUGUAAAGCUCUUUCGGCCGGGAAGAAAUCGCAUCCUCUAAUAUAGAGUGUGGAUGACGGUACCGGAAUAAGAAGCACCGGCUAACUACGUGCCAGCCGCCGCAGUAAUAC
rnacentral:rRNA from 1 species